rnacentral:tRNA from 1 species
ACCUGGGUGGCUCAGUCAGUGGAGCGUCCGACUUCAGCUCGGGUCAUGAUCUCACGGUCGGUGGGUUCGAGCCCCGCAUCGGGCU